rnacentral:rRNA from 1 species
AGUGAACGCUGGCGGUAGGCCUAACACAUGCAAGUCGAACGGCAGCACAGUAAGAGCUUGCUCUUACGGGUGGCGAGUGGCGGACGGGUGAGGAAUACAUCGGAAUCUACUUUUUCGUGGGGGAUAACGUAGGGAAACUUACGCUAAUACCGCAUACGACCUACGGGUGAAAGCAGGGGAUCUUCGGACCUUGCGCGAUUGAAUGAGCCGAUGUCGGAUUAGGUAGUUGGCGGGGUAAAGGCCUACCAAGGCGACGAUCCGUAGCUGGUCUGAGAGGAUGAUCAGCCACACUGGGACUGAGACACGGCCCAGACUCCUACGGGAGGCAGCAGUGGGGAAUAUUGGACAAUGGGCGCAAGCCUGAUCCAGCCAUGCCGCGUGGAGGAUGAAGGCCUUCGGGUUGUAAACUGCUUUUGUACGGAAAGAAAAGCAUUCUGUUAAUACAGGGGUGUCAUGACGGUACCGUAAGAAUAAGCACCGGCUAACUACGUG